GAUGAACGCUGGCGGCGUGCCUAAUACAUGCAAGUCGAGCGAACGGACGAGAAGCUUGCUUCUCUGAUGUUAGCGGCGGACGGGUGAGUAACACGUGGAUAACCUACCUAUAAGACUGGGAUAACUUCGGGAAACCGGAGCUAAAACCGGAUAAUAUUUUGAACCGCAUGGUUCAAAAGUGAAAGACGGUCUUGCUUUCACUUAUAGAUUGAUCCGCGCUGCAUUAGCUAGUUGGUAAGGUAACGGCUUACCAAGGCAACGAUGCAUAGCCGACCUGAGAGGGUGAUCGGCCACACUGGAACUGAGACACGGUCCAGACUCCUACGGGAGGCAGCAGUAGGGAAUCUUCCGCAAUGGGCGAAAGCCUGACGGAGCAACGCCGCGUGAGUGAUGAAGGUCUUCGGAUCGUAAAACUCUGUUAUUAGGGAAGAACAUAUGUGUGAGUAACUGUGCACAUCUUGACGGUACCUAAUCAGAAAGCCACGGCUAACUACGUG
rnacentral:rRNA from 1 species